rnacentral:rRNA from 1 species
AUUGAACGCUGGCGGCAUGCCUUACACAUGCAAGUCGAACGGCAGCACGGGGCAACCUGGUGGCGAGUGGCUAACGGGUGAGUAAUGCAUCGGAACGUACCUUUCAGUGGGGGAUAACGUAGCGAAAGUUACGCUAAUACCGCAUAUUCUGUGAGCAGGAAAGCAGGGGAUCGCAAGACCUUGCGCUGAUUGAGCGGCCGAUGUCAGAUUAGCUAGUUGGUGAGGUAAAGGCUUACCAAGGCGACGAUCUGUAGCGGGUCUGCGAGGAUGAUCCGCCACACUCGAACUGAGCCACGGUCCAGACUUCUACGGGAGGCUGCAGUGGGGAAUUUUGGACAAUGGGGGCAACCCUGUUCCAGCCAUGCCGCGUGAGUGAAGAAGGCCUUUGGGUUGUAAAGCUCUGUCGGCCGGGAAGAAAUCGCACGGGCUAAUACCCUGUGUGGAUGACGGUACCGGAAUAAGAAGCACCGGCUAACUACGUGCCAGCCGCCGCCGUAAAAC